UACGAAGGGUGCAAACGUUCUUCGGAAUCACUGGGCGUACAGGGUGCGUAGACGGUAUGUCAAGUUUGUUGUUAAAGGCUCUGGCCUAACCGGAGUAUUGCGAUGAAAACUGGCAUGCUAGAGGGUGAGAGAGAGAAGUGGAAUUCCUGGAGUAGCGGUAAAAUGCGUGGAUCUGAGGAGGAACACCAAUGGCGAAGGCAGCUUCUUGGCUCAUUCCUGACGUUGAGGCACGAAAGCGUGGGGAGCAAACAGG
rnacentral:rRNA from 1 species